AGUCGUAACAAGGUUUCCGUAGGUGAACCUGCGGAAGGAUCAUUAACACAUUGUCCAUUUGAUGGUUGUGAAGUUUAACUAUUUAGAGGAGAAUUUAUUCUCUGAUAUUGGUGCUUCCAAUCAUUCAAACCUCUUAGUAAACUUGUUGAAGUCCUCAACAACAAUAUUAAAAACAUUGUUUGUAAAGAGUGUAUUUCAAAGAGUGAUAUCAAGAUCAAUCGUUUCUUUUGAAAUGAUUAGACUGAUGUUUACAUUAAACAAUAUAAAAACCAAGACAACUUGUAACAGUGGAUACCUUGGUUCCCAG
rnacentral:misc_RNA from 1 species